CGCAGUCGAUGGGACAGGGGAGGUGGCACAGCUGGGACCGGUUGGGCACCGGACCUUUGCACAGCCUGUUCUCCACCGGACGGGAAGCUGAGGAGGCGAGCAGAGGACAUCACAAGAUGUGCAGUGUGGGACUUGGAAAGGCCUUUCCAUCAAGAAACUGUCUCGGAGGCGGUGGAAGGAAUCCGAGCUCACAGGCACGUGGCGACUGUGUCGGGUUGUGUUGGGCCUGGUGUUAAAGCUAAACUGCAAAUGUGAAGGUUGGUGAUUUAUUAUUGGACAUCAAGCUGGCAAGAAAGGUUUUUAUUUACACGUUCAAUAAACCCAUCGUAUUCCGCAUGAGCAAAAUCCUUAUACUGUAUAUGUACGAUUGCUUCUUUUCUGCCUUUAAAGGAAGAACAGGCAGCUAAUUAACUAAGCCAGUCGAUUGUCCUCAAGCUACGAUGAGCUAACCAUGUCCUGGUUCCAGUUCACAAAGAGAAAGAUUUUAAUUUUUUAUCUUCCAGCAACUUGCAUAUGCCCAUAAUAUGUAGAACUCUGCCUUUAAUGGUUCCAGCCAGCAAUGUUAAUUUGGUGUGAGAGGUCAUUGUU